UACGAAGGGGGCUAGCGUUGUUCGGAAUUACUGGGCGUAAAGCGCACGUAGGCGGAUCGAUCAGUCAGGGGUGAAAUCCCAGGGCUCAACCCUGGAACUGCCUUUGAUACUGUCGAUCUGGAGUAUGGAAGAGGUGAGUGGAAUUCCGAGUGUAGAGGUGAAAUUCGUAGAUAUUCGGAGGAACACCAGUGACGAAGGCGGCUCACUGGUCCAUUACCGACGCUGAGGUGCGAAAGCGUGGGGAGCAAACAGG
rnacentral:rRNA from 1 species